GCCAACAAACGAAAAUUUGAAAACAAAAGGGUCUUGUGGAGACCGUGUGUUAAUUUUACCAUUCUAGGUUUCGAUCUGAAUCGGUGUACAAAAUGAAAUUUACUUUGAGUAUAGUGUGUAUAUUUUACUUAAAAGUGAUCGAGAGCCAUGAUUCGGAAAGUUCGGAGAUGAAUCGCAUAGAAAUAACACCAUUCUACGAUACGAUUAUUAUAAGUGAUGUCGCCGAUAUUAUAAACGAAUUCGAAAAUAAUAUGAACUCCCCGUUAGACGCAAUUCUUAAUAGUGAAAGUGAGAGCGAUGAAAAUAUAGAAGAUUUACUGAACGAAUACCAAAACUAUUUAGACAAAGCCCAUAAGCAACGGCUCACGUUUUUAGAAAGUAAAAACAAAGCCAAAAAUAAGGUUCCCCUUAUGCGGCAUGACAAGUUCUUCAAAGGGAAAACACCGAAUAUGAAACACGACAAUUUCUUCUUCAACAGUUUCCUUAAUCCUAACUCCUUGAAAUAUCCACAAACUCAACAAAAUAAUUUCGAUCUGUAUAUUCCACUAAAUGCGAAUGAGAAAUUUAUAAACAAACCUUCAGAUCAGCAUAAGGAUGUUACUGCUCAAUUUGCACCCUUAGACAAAAUCAUCAAAAAUAAGUUCUUACCCUAUAACCUGCAAUCUACCGUUUUGAGUCCCGACGUGGACGUCAUAAAGCCACGCUGUUGUAAAAACGGUCAAGUUAAUUGCAAACAGUGUACAAAUUUCAACUCAUUUUCUGAAACGCAUAUUGAUCCCAAACUAUUCGUUUUUGAUAAAGCACAAUCGGAGAUUCAACAAGAUUCGUCUCGCCUGGGAAACAAUUUCAUAAACAAGGAGCUGUCAAACGAUCUUGAGAACACUAUCAACCUGAAAGUAAAAGUUGAAGUGCAGAUGCCAAGUUUAAUGAAUAUGAGGAAAUCCUAUAAAGGGAAAUAUCGUGAAAGAAUACUAGAACCAGAAGACACUUAUUCCAAAGAGUACAUGUCAAGUAUAAACUUGCCUGUACCAUAUUUUAACUUUCCAAUUCCAUUAGAUGUCUUUGGUUAUAAAAAGAGUCCUAAAUUUUAUAAACACGACAAUAAUUUACACGAGAUAACUAUUCAUAAGAAAAAGAAAUCAAGAAAUAAUAAUAUCAAAAAACAUCGAAACAAAAUAAUUUCAUUUCAUAAAAUAUCAUCUGCAGUACCUCAUAUCAAUAUUACGCUUGAACACUUUAACAAUACUAAUGAUAAUCAUGGUAUUCACAGCAACAGUGAUAGGAUAAAUGCAUUGUUAAAUAUGAGUAAAUUCAUUGAAGAAAAUGCUAAAAGUAAUACCACAAGGGAUCUAAAUUUUAAAGACAAAGGUAACGACACUCAAGUAGAAGAAAGUAUAUAUGUAACGCUAAAUAUCUCCAAUAAAGGCCAAAUCGAUAAAGAUGAUGCUCGCAAAAUAAUUGAGAAUAGCAUCGAAACUGAAUACAGUAAGGCACAUGCGUUUAAUAUUACUACAGAAAAAUCUUUAAUAGAACGGAGAAAGCGCGACAUUCAGGCUCAGAAUAUCACGGUAGAUAGUAAUUUAAAUCUGACAGUUCUUGCAUUACCAAACGUUACAAGUUUGAAUUACACUUUAAACAAACUAAAAGCGCUACAACAGAAUAUCUCAAAAGCUGUAGAGCAGGUGCUCAUGUCUAGGAAAAUUGAAAAGAGCAUGUUUUCUGAUGCAGAAAUGCUAUUUUGGCCAAAUUCUCCUCAAAAUGGUUCCAAAAUAAAUUCGGGUAAUAUAACAAAUUUAAUACUGGACAGGGAAAAUAAGAAAGAAAAGUUCAACAUGAGUGUAGCCUCAAUCCGACUCAAUCGCACUGCAGCUCUGGAACACGCCAUAUUUGGAAACGUGGAUUGGAAUGAUGUAGAUGUAGUUGCGCCAACAGUUUUGUCUUUCGUGGGUAAAUAUAUAAAAGGAGUUUUAACUUUUUGUUCAGAAAAGAUUUGCCAUUCCAUGAAAUGUGAAGAUAUGAAAUGUUUCCAUAGAAUUUGUGCUCCCGAAGACAGAUUCAAUCAAAAAGGACAUUGUAUAGGAUCUAACGUAACAGAUAGCAUAGCAUCAUUGGAAUCAAUUAUGGAUUUACCAUCAAGUGUUGUGUUUAAAAUUGUGGACAUCUUGGAAGACAGAAUGUUAGGUAAAUUAUUUGGUAAGGUAACACUUUGCGUGAACGCCAAGUGCAUGACAUUUUUGGCAUCCAAAAAGAAUUUUCUAAAGUAUAAAUGUGGUAUGAAGGAAACUGUUACAGGGCAUUGUCAAAAUUUAAAAAAUUCCAAAAUGAUGUAAUACGCCAUAGAACUUAAAUUGUUUUCAAAAUAAAAUGAUUUGAAAAAUGAAACAAAGGUGUUUAUAAAUAUGCGCUUAAGCUGAAAUUUGGUCCUGAUAAGAAGCAUUCAUUACUUGCAUGGAACAACAUGCGGACUCGUCACAAGUUCUAUAUUCAAUUAACAAUAUUCGUUACUUUGCGAUUACUAUUAUUAUGUAAUACAUAUAUCCUUGAAUCCCAAGAGCUAUUUUUUAAUCCAUGGAUGAGGAUCGUGCCCCAUCUGAUAAAGUUCGAUAACAAAGGAAAGUUACAAAGAAAGACCGUGAUGCCAAAUCAAAUUGUCCACUGGAGGGAAGUAGAAAGAAUGUUAGGUAAACAAGCAGCACGAAGAUUUCAAGAGGACGACUGGGAUCCACAAGAGUGGAAUGAUUACGUCACGACGGAAAUACGUCACAUGCUUAGAAACUUAUUCGCCAAUGCAAAGAAAAAACAAAGACUCAAAAUUUACACAUUUUGUAGUAAGACUAAGUCCAUAUGUCGAUUUUUAGUUUGUCCAGAUAUAAGAAAAUUUUGUACGGUGUGUGAAGCCAUAAGUGAGGACGACGAAGAUCCAGAUGACACAUCGGUCAAUAAGAUUACGCAUUGCAUGAAUUAUACAACUAAAUUCUUAGUAACUCAAUGAUAUUAAAGAUUAGCAAGGAAACAUUUUUUUACUUCUAUGCUAAACCAGGGGCACAUCCCAGCUUUACUCGGGUAAAAACAUAAUAAAUUAUACGCCUAAGCUUUCUUAAGAAAUCACACUAUUUAUUGGUGACAACCGCAUUAAAAAAAAUUUGAGUUUAUCGCGAACAGACAGAUGGAUAGACAGACGUGAAAGAGGGCUUUGUUUUAUAAUAUUU